rnacentral:rRNA from 1 species
AGGACGAACGCUGGCGGCGUGCCUAACACAUGCAAGUCGGGCGAGGAGAUCCCUUCGGGAUGAUCCUAGCGGCGGACGGGUGAGUAACACGUGGGCAACCUGCCUCAUAGAGAGGAAUAGCCUUCCGAAAGGGAGAUUAAUACCUCAUAACAUUGCAGUUUCGCAUGGAACAGCAAUUAAAGGAGCAAUCCGCUAUGAGAUGGGCCCGCGGCGCAUUAGCUAGUUGGUGAGGUAACGGCUCACCAAGGCGACGAUGCGUAGCCGACCUGAGAGGGUGAUCGGCCACAUUGGGACUGAGACACGGCCCAGACUCCUACGGGAGGCAGCAGUGGGGAAUAUUGCACAAUGGGGGAAACCCUGAUGCCAGCAACGCCGCGUGAGUGAUGACGGCCUUCGGGUUGUAAAGCUCUGUCUUCAGGGACGAUAAUGACGGUACCUGAGGAGGAAGCCACGGCUAACUACGUGCCAGCCGCCGC